AAAAGUAUGUGUAAAAUGGUCAUUAAAAAUUAGAAGAUGGUAGAAAUGAAAAUGACCAAUAGAAAAGGGUAUAAUUGAAAAGAGGUAGUGGCAUUCUUAGCAAUUUUUCU
rnacentral:sRNA from 1 species